rnacentral:rRNA from 1 species
CCUACGGGGGGCAGCAGUGGGGAAUAUUGCACAAUGGACGAAAGUCUGAUGCAGCAACACCGCGUGGAGGAUGACACAUUUCGGUGCGUAAACUCCUUUUAUAUGGGAAGAUAAUGACGGUACCAUAUGAAUAAGCACCGGCUAACUCCGUGCCAGCAGCCGCGGUAAUACGGAGGGUGCAAGCGUUACUCGGAAUCACUGGGCGUAAAGCGCGCGCAGGCGGCCUUUUAAGUUGGAUGUGAAAGCCUACGGCUCAACCGUAGAACUGCAUCCAAAACUAUCAGGCUAGAGUGUGGGAGAGGAAGAUGGAAUUAGUUGUGUAGGGGUAAAAUCCGUAGAGAUAACUAGGAAUACCAAAAGCGAAGGCAAUCUUCUGGAACAUUACUGACGCUGAGGCGCGAAAGCGUGGGGAGCAAACAGGAUUAGAUACCCGAGUAGUC